GAUCCAGUGGUGUAACAGUAACACACCUGUAUCAUUUAGUCCACCUCCGAAAGGUAAGCAGGAGUUCUCUGUUCAAUUCAGGGCUGGGUCA